rnacentral:rRNA from 1 species
GGGUGCGAUCAUACCAGCACUAAUGCACCAGAUCCCAUCAAAACUCUACAACUAAGCGUGCUUGGGCAAGAGUAGUACUAGAAUGCGUGACCUUCUAGGAAGUCCCCGAAUUGCACCCC